UACGUAGGGUGCGAGCGUUAAUCGGAAUUACUGGGCGUAAAGCGUGCGCAGGCGGUUCGUUGUGUCGGCGGUGAAAGCCCCGGGCUUAACCUGGGAAUGGCCGUCGAAACUGGCGAACUGGAGUGUGGCAGAGGGGGUGGAAUUCCGGCGUGUAGCAGUGAAAUGCGUAGAUAUCAGGAGGAACACCGGUGGCGAAGGCGGGUCUCUGGGCCGUAACUGACGCUGAGGAGCGAAAGCGUGGGGAGCGAACAGGA
rnacentral:rRNA from 1 species